rnacentral:rRNA from 1 species
GACGAACCGUGCGAACGUUAUUCGGAAUCACUGGGCUUAAAGGGCGCGUAGGCGGCCUGCUAAGUCGAACGUGAAAUCCCUGGGCUCAACCCAGGAACUGCGUCCGAUACUGGUUGGCUUGAAUCCGGGAGAGGGAUGUGGAAUUCAGGUGUAGCGGUGAAAUGCGUAGAUAUCUGGAGGAACACCGGUGGCGAAGGCGACAUCCUGGACCGGUAUUGACGCUGAGGCGCGAAAGCCAGGGGAGCAAAGCGGG